rnacentral:rRNA from 1 species
UUGGGGAAACUCAGGCUAAUACCGCAUGAGUCCUAUGGGAGAAAGUAGGGGAUCUUUUUUAAAGACCUUACGCUAAAAGAGAAGCUUACGUCGGAUUAGCUUGUUGGUAAGGUAACGGCUUACCAAGGCGACGAUCCGUAGCUGGUCUGAGAGGAUGAUCAGCCACACUGGGACUGAGAUACGGCCCAGACUUCUACGGAAGGCAGCAGUGGGGAAUAUUGGACAAUGGGCGAAAGCCUGAUCCAGCAAUGCCGCGUGUGUGAAGAAGGCCUGAGGGUUGUAAAGCACUUUCAGUGGGGAAGAAAGGUAAUAUAGUUAAUACCUAUAUUAAGAUGACGUUACCCACAAAAGAAGCACCGGCUAACUCUGUGCCAGCAGCCGCGGUAAUACAGAGGGUGCAAACGUUAAUCGGAAUUAUUGGGCGUAAAGGGUGUGUAGGUGGUUAGAUAAGUUAGAUGUGAAAUCCCUGAGCUUAACUUGGGAAGUGCGUUUAAAACUGUUUAACUAGAGUUUUGUAGAGGAUAGUGGAAUUUCCGGUGUAGCGGUGAAAUGCGUAGAUAUCGGAAGGAACACCAGUGGCGAAGGCGACUAUCUGGAUAAAAACUGACACUGAGACACGAAAGCAUGGGGAGCAAACAGGAUUAGAUACCCUGGUAGUCCAUGCUGUAAACGAUGAGAACUGAUUGUUGGGUACAUAAAAGUACUUAGUAAUGGAGCUAACGCGUUAAGUUUUCCGCCUGGGGAGUACGACCGCAAGGUUAAAACUCAAAGGAAUUGACGGGGGCCCGCACAAGCGGUGGAGCAUGUGGUUUAAUUCGAUGCAACGCGAAAAACCUUACCUACCUUUGAAUCCUUGGAAGUUAACAGAGAUGUUGAUGUGCCUUCGGGAACCAAGAGACAGGUGCUGCAUGGCUGUCGUCAGUUCGUGUCGUGAGAUGUUGGGUUAAGUCCCGUAACGAGCGCAACCCUUGUUCUUAGUUGCCAGCGAGU